rnacentral:rRNA from 1 species
UCAACGGAGAGUUUGAUCCUGGCUCAGGACGAACGCUGGCGGCGUGCUUAACACAUGCAAGUUGAGCGAGGAUGAUUUGAGGAGACAUAUGUUGAAUUGAAUCGUUCGAGCAGCGGACGGGUGAGUAAAGCACAAGGACUUGUCCGAAAGAGAGGGACACCUUCGGGAAACCGGAGCUAAUACCUCAUAAGCCGGAAGGUGAAAAGCAGAGAUGCGCUUUUGGAGAGACUUGUGUCCUAUCAGGCAGUUGGUGAGGUGAAAGCUCACCAAACCGAAGACGGGUAGCCGGACUGAGAGGUCGACCGGCCACAUUGGAACUGAGAGACGGUCCAGACUCCUACGGGAGGCAGCAGUGGGGAAUAUUGGGCAAUGGGCGGAAGCCUGACCCAGCGACGCCGCGUGAGGGAAGACAGCCUUCGGGUUGUAAACCUCUGUUGCAGGGGAAGAAGGAAGUGACGGUACCCUGCGAGGAAGCUCCGGCUAACUACGUGCCAGCAGCCGCGGUAAUACGUAGGGAGCGAGCGUUGUCCGGAAUUACUGGGCGUAAAGGGCGCGUAGGCGGCGCUUCAAGUCGUCUGUCAAAUGGAAGGGCUUAACCCUUUUUCGCAGACGAAACUGGAGAGCUUGAGAAGCAGAGAGGCAAACAGAAUUCCUGGUGUAGCGGUGAAAUGCGUAGAUAUCAGGAAGAAUACCAGUGGCGAAGGCGGUUUGCUGGCUGCAUACUGACGCUGAAGCGCGAAAGCCAGGGGAGCGAACGGGAUUAGAUACCCCGGUAGUCCUGGCAGUAAACGAUGUAUGCUGGGUGUGAGACUAGCGAUAGUUUCGUGCCGAAGUUAACGCGAUAAGCAUACCGCCUGGGGAGUACGGUCGCAAGAUUGAAACUCAAAGGAAUUGACGGGGGCCCGCACAAGCGGUGGAGCACGUGGUUUAAUUCGAUGCAAACCGAAGAACCUUACCUGGACUUGACAUACACGCGGUAGAGAAGCGAAAGCGGAUCGACCCCUCCGCAAGGAAGGGAACGUGAACAGGUGCUGCAUGGCUGUCGUCAGCUCGUGUCGUGAGAUGUUGGGUUAAGUCCCGCAACGAGCGCAACCCCUAUUGCCAGUUGCUACCAGGUAAAGCUGAGCACUCCGGCGAGACUGCCAUCGACAAGAUGGAGGAAGGUGGGGACGACGUCAAGUCAUCAUGGCCCAUAUGUCCAGGGCGACACACAUGCUACAAUGGAUGGUACAGAGAGAAGCGAGACCGGAAGGUGAAGCAGAUCCCAGAAAGCCAUCCCCAGUUCGGAUUGCAGUCUGCAACUCGACUGCAUGAAGUUGGAAUCGCUAGUAAUCGCGGAUCAGCCAAGCCGCGGUGAAUACGUUCCCGGGCCUUGUACACACCGCCCGUCACACCAUCCGAGUCGGGUGCUCUCCAAGCCGGAGGCCUAACCGCAAGGAAGGAUCCGCCUAAAGAGUGUCCGGUGAGGAGGGUGAAGUCGUAACAAGGUAGCCGUACGGGAACGUGCGGCUGGAUCACCUCCUUUCU